rnacentral:rRNA from 1 species
UACGUAGGGUGCUAGCGUUGUCCGGAUUUAUUGGGCGUAAAGGGCUCGUAGGCGGCGUGUCGCGUCGGUAGUGAAAACCCGCGGCUUAACCGCGGGCCUGCUUUCGAUACGGGCGGGCUAGAGUUCGGCAGGGGAGACUGGAAUUCCUGGUGUAGCGGUGGAAUGCGCAGAUAUCGGGAGGAACACCGGUGGCGAAGGCGGGUCUCUGGGCCGAUACUGACACUGAGAAGCGAAAGCGUGGGGAGCGAACAGG